CUCUACUAUCAAUGUCAGAGCUGAGCCAUACUCAAUUUUGAUAAUUAUUUAUUUUAAUUUUCACAAAAUUUGAUUUUAGUUGUGGUACAUUAUUGUUCUAGUCUUUAUUAGAUAUGAUUUUUGAAAGAUGGAUGAUAAUAAACAAUGUUGCAUUGACUGUAUAUUAUUGAAUAUUUAAGACAUUGCGAGUUUAACCUAGAAUAGUGAUUUUGAAUUAUGUCUGAACACUAUAAGGCCCUCAUUCCUGAUGACGUAGUUAUACAGGAACUAAUUAAGGAAAGUCGAAGAAGGCUGAACCAGUCAGUCGAGAGUGCCCGCCUCAAACCAAAUCUUAACUUUUUUCAAAGAACGGUUAACGGCUUGGUUUCAACCAAUAAUAGGAUAGAAAAAAGUCUGUAUGCAGUUAAAGUUAAGGCCUCGAACCAGAAAUACAAGAAAAGUAAAACGUUAGUAAUUCCGACUUUAACCUCUUCGCCAAAAAUAAGCCCUAAGAAAAAAAAUCAUUUUGUUUCGGCUGCUACUGAAAUCUCAAAAAGCUCUCAUGGAUAUUUAGGUUUUUCUUAUAAAACUAAAAAUAACAAAAAAUUUAAAACAAGUGAUAAACUAAAAGAACUAGAAAAAUAUAUUGAAGGGGUGUCCACCGACUCGGAGGAUGAUUCGGGUGACUCCGUAGUUUAUAUAAAGACUGAUAAACAUUUAUAUGAUGGGUACAGUAAAAAAGCAACCCCUAAAAGCGAAAAUAGUAGUGUUAUUUUAAUCUCUAGCUCUGAUGAUGAUUUUCCUUAAAGUUCUUCCUUAAAAUCUUCGAAAAUAAAUCUAAGCACAGAAAGAGAAUUGAGAUUGCUUGAAUAAUUGUAAUAAUUAAUUUUCAAUUAUAUUCAGAAAAAUGUGCCUAGAGUAACCAGUCCUAAGUGAAUUUUACUAGCCAUGGCAUGCUUAUUAUAAUGUAAAUCUUGUUCCUUUAUUUUUGUAAGAUAUAUUUAGCCUAAAUUUAAUAAUAGUGUAUAAUUCGUUAGAAUUAUUUGACAUUUUGAGCUAUUCUAUUUUAAAUGUUUAAAAAUAUAUGUAUUUUAGUUUAAA